GUUGUGGUGGCUCAGUGGUUAAGGCUUUGACUCACAGCUCAGAAGGUUGUGUGUUCAAAUCCCACUACUACCA